UGGGGAAUAUUGGACAAUGGGGGGAACCCUGAUCCAGCCAUGCCGCGUGUGUGAAGAAGGCCUUUUGGUUGUAAAGCACUUUAAGCGAGGAGGAGGCUCCCUAGAUUAAUACUCUAGGAGAGUGGACGUUACUCGCAGAAUAAGCACCGGCUAACUCUGUGCCAGCAGCCGCGGUAAUACAGAGGGUGCAAGCGUUAAUCGGAUUUACUGGGCGUAAAGCGUGCGUAGGUGGCCAAUUAAGUCAAAUGUGAAAUCCCCGAGCUUAACUUGGGAAUUGCAUUCGAUACUGGUUGGCUAGAGUAUGGGAGAGGAUGGUAGAAUUCCAGGUGUAGCGGUGAAAUGCGUAGAGAUCUGGAGGAAUACCGAUGGCGAAGGCAGCCAUCUGGCCUAAUACUGACACUGAGGUACGAAAGCAUGGGGAGCAAACA
rnacentral:rRNA from 1 species